rnacentral:lncRNA from 1 species
UAUAAUUGUAUAUAGGUGGAGAAGCCAAAUAGAAGAUGAACAAGCAAGGAAAACGUGGUGAAGGGUUCGGCCACUAUAUUUUUUGCUUACUACUUAGGAAGUUUGUUAGGCAUUAAAGAUUGUCUUUAAACUUUCUUAUUUUGUUAAGAACUUAUUAUGUGGCUUCAUAUGAUGGAAGACCACUAAUAGUGCCUAAAUGUAUAAAGGUAUUUAUAUUAGUCUCUAAAUGUAUAGAGCUAAUACUUUUUGUAUUAAACAUUAUGAAUGUUUGAACUAUCAUAUUAAUGUAAUGUGAAGAAUGCCUUUUAAAAUACUAUUUCCUUAAAGUAGUGUUAUGAAUUGAAAAUUGUCUUGUUGUAUCCUUGAUGAGAUACAAGAGUUAUAUCACUUAUUGUAAUGUGAUAAACAAACUUUAGAUUUAUCAAUUAUGGAUAGAUCUCACAUGUAGGACAUAAAAAGGAUACAAUGAAUAUUUAGAUUUGGUUCCAUUUGUCUUCUUAUGAGUUCUAUAUGAAUUGACAAAAGUCUAGAGAAUCCUUUUCUUGAAGAAAAGGAUGAUCACAUUAUAAUGAUAUAAGUAAUAAGAAAAACGUUUCUUAUAUGGUUGUCACUUGAAACACAAUGAUCAAGAUCACUCUUGAUUCAAUUAGUAGUUUUGAACAUCUAAUUGGGCAUUCUUUAAAAAGUUUUAAAAUGUCAAUUGUGUUAGUGAUUAAACCAAGAAAGAAGUAUCUAAAUCUAUAAAAGGUUUAAAGACUUUAGCUACUUAAUAAACAAGACAUUAAAACUUAGUGAAGAUUGAAGCAAAUAAGCUUGAAAUGUUUUAAAGCUACUACACAAUGUCUUCUACCAAUAUAAUCCACUUUUAUACAUUUUAAAAUGUAUGAAAUGAUUUCUCAUUAAAGUCAUGAGAAAUAGUGGGAGGUGUGAAAAUGGAUAUAAACUUGAAUGUGAUUGGUUUAUAGUUGUCUAAUGAAUAAUAGUACUUGACUAUUAUUAAGAGUUUGUAAUUUUAAUUGUUAAAAGGACUCAAGCUCUUUAAACGUUAAAAUUCUAUGUUGUGUAACAUUUUAAAGAAUAGUCUUUGAAUGUUGGUUUCGUCAACCUAGCAUAAAAUGGUUAUAUGUUGGGAGUUGUCCAUAAUUCUCUUUUAUGAGAACAAGCUAAAUAACAAAGCAUAUGGACAAGUUGAUGAAACAAAAAGGGAAUAAGUUUCAAAAUGAGUCACAACAUAUGGUUUAACAACAAUACAAUCCAAAUUCAACAUCUCAUGUAACUAUAUUGCUCUAUGUAGUUUUGAUAAAGAAUUAUAUCAACCACCUAGAAGAAAUGGUUGAGUUUCUAUAACCUUAGUAGGAGCCAUGCUUCCACUAAGGAAUUGGAUAAUUCUUAUAUGACUACAUUAAAGGUCUUAGUAUGACUGAAACUUGUAGUAUGGUGUAUGACAUCGUAUAAUUAAAUAAAUAGACUUGAUAAAACAAGUCACAUAUUCAAAAGGAAUUACUUUAGAAGGAAUUCUUUUGUAUGUGAUUCGUUUAAAUAACUUGUGUUAGCUAGGGUUGUUGAUGGUCUCAAAAUUGUUGAGACAUCAUCAAUAAGCUAAUGGAUCUCAAUGAUUCUCAAUGGAUCCAAGACAAGUUAGAAUGAGCAAUAUGCAUUCAAAUCAAGAUAUAUAUAAUUGUUAUUUUUGAAUGAAUGCUAAGUUACAACAAGGCUAGUGGGAGUGAUUGAUGCGUAAAAUAAGUUAACACACAAAAUUAAACCCUCUUUUUAUCAAAUGUAGUAAAGUAUGUAAGUAGGGA